AAAUAUGCCUGUGAGCCGUAUAGGCUUAUGGAAAGAUUCCCUAUACACAACAAAAAUCAAAACUCUCCUCUCCCCAACUCCAAUCUCUACUAGAAAAAAAUGGGCCAUUAUUAAAUUGACUUGACGUGGAUUUAUGGCGGAGAUGAGUAAUCUGUGACGAUAUUAAAUAGAGGGAAACCUAACUUCGUUAAACCUCAGGUCUCUUGUCUGUCUUCGUAGCACUGAUGGUACUGUUGUAUUUAUUGCCUAAGAUACUACAACACACCUGGCUUUCCUCUCAGUAGAGUGGCAUCUGCCUUCGUUGAAGAAUAGUUGAAUCUUUUUGGUAUGGUCCAGAAUAUGGCUACGCUAUAAUGUCCCGGGUUCUAUUUAAGAUGGGUUGUCUGCAUGGUGGUAAAAUAAGCGUCUUCCUCUUGCCUACAUCUUUUGGAAGGUUUCCCGAUUAUGUACAAACUCUUUAGGUGAGGCUUAUUCUUGCUGUUUUGCCGUGUCACUCUCUACGUUUCCGUGAGCAUUAAUGCAGAGCGGAGAGGUGUGACGUGGGAGUGGGGCUAAGAAGGAGGGCUAGCGGCUCAAGCGGAAGCUCCCAUUCAUCAGAGUGAAAGCACUCUCUGUGCCGCCUAGUCAGCAGUGAGGAGGGGAGGGGGGAAACCCUUCUCACACCGAGGACACUGCAGCUUCAGGUAAUCCAUGUCCCACGCUAGCAACCCAGGCGUUCAUCUGUUCAAACCAGAAAAACUGAACUUCCUUGAUUAGCUCCAGGCCUCCCAGCUUGGGACAAGGGACCAGUAAGAGAAUGCCAUUGCUGUGCUUUCUGUUGGAAACUAUUAGAAAUCACACUGAACUCCAAACCCCAGUGGAACAUGGGAUUCCAGAAGUUUUCUGUUGCAACUGGCCACACUUGCUAGUUCGUUGUCUCUGCAUGCUCUGUUCCUCACAGAAGCUAGCUCUUAAUUAGUAUUUAUUUUGGACUCAUUUAUGGUAUAAGCUUAGUGAUCUAAUAUAUUUAUUUUUGGAAAGGGCCAAGUUACUCUACAUCAUAUUUUUUGAGCCUGCGUUGUUGAUACCUCGUGCAGUGACCACCGAGUAACUAUAUAUCCGUGUGUUCGAGAUUGAUUACAUCAUUUGCAUCACACUCAGUAUUUGGAAUUAAAGAUGUGAAUGUUCUGUGACCAGAGCCAGGUUUGACACAGGUGGAAUCAGCUCCUGGGGGAACACGAAUCCUGAAAACUCUGGUCACCUGAUCCAUUGCAUCUGGAUUGAGUGUAUUUUAACAGAGAAAGAAAUUAAACGAUUUUAUAUAAAAAGCAUGUGUCUGUAAUUUUCCUUUGUUCUUUUACCCUUGGUCAUGUCACCCCUGAGCACUGCAUACUGCCUCACUCCCUUGGAACCACUUGGGACUAGAGGAGGCCUAGUGUCUCUCCUCGGCUCCAGCCUUCCUGAAUCCAUCCCUGGAAUUGUUGGUGUUUAAAACAUAAGAAAACUGGUGGCAUCACCAAUUUGUAGUUCUUUUCUAUCAGGUAACAACAGCAGCUGCAAUAUUACAGCCUACGCAGGGCUAAGCUACUUAGCAUCUGAAAAUCAGGUGUUAUCUCAGUUCCUCAAUGGCCUUGUUCCCA
ensembl:lncRNA